CCUACGGGUGGCUGCAGUGGGGAAUAUUGCACAAUGGGGGAAACCCUGAUGCAGCGACGCCGCGUGAGUGAAGAAGUAUUUCGGUACGUACAGCUCUAUCAGCAGGGAAGAAAAUGACGGUACCUUACUAAGAAGCCCCGGCUAACUACGUGCCAGCCGCCGCGGUAAUACGUAAGGGGCAAGCGUUAUCCGGAUUUACUGGGUGUAAAGGGAGCGUAUACGGGAGCGCAAGUCUGAAGUGAAAUCCCAUGGCUUAACAAGGGAACUGCUGUGGAAACUGGGCAGCUGGAGUGCAGGAGAGGUAGGCGGAAUUCCUAGUGUAGCGGUGAAAUGCGUAGAUAUUAGGAGGAACACCAGUGGCGAAGGCGGCUUACUGGACUGUAACUGACGUUGAGGCUCGAAAGCGUGGGGAGCAAACAGGAUUAGAUACCCGGGUAGUC
rnacentral:rRNA from 1 species